rnacentral:lncRNA from 10 species
ACCGCACCGCACACUCAGCGGAGGCGCGCGCCCCGCGGCGACCGGAGGAUGUCCCCUAAACUGCUCCAAUUCACAAACAAAGGUGUUCCAAGGCAAGAAGUUAUUUUCACCAGGGAAGCCUGUGAACAGAAAGAGCUCCUGAGACUACACCUGCUUUUAAUUUGGUGUCAGUAGGAACGAUGGAGAUGAAAACCUCAUCAAGACCAGCACGGAUUUGGGAAUCACCAAUAGAGUCAACCCCUCACUCUAAGAUGAGGAAACUAAGGCCCCCUAAGGUGAACUGUGAACUGAAUUGAUGAAAGCUGGGAUCAAAGCCCAGAUCUCUGGGCUCCUUGUCUGGUAUUUAUCUUCCCUGCUUUCUUCAUAAUUAAAUUCAGUGUAAUGACGCAGACGUAGAGCAAGAUCCUGGAGUGUCUUCUUAAUCAUCAAAUAUUGUCCUCUAUAAAGUUAUAAUGUUUAGUGAA